rnacentral:misc_RNA from 1 species
AUUGAAGCUAAAGUGCCAAGAAAAAUGCCUUAAUUCUCCUGUAAAUGAUAAAGCUUUGGUUAGAAUUGACACAAGUAAUGACUUCCACCACACUCUGCCAACUUAUUCCAGACCAAGCAGAGAGAAUUUGCAAUUGAAUCAAGUGCAACUUAAUCAAGGGAAGAAGACAUUUCAAGCCAAAGUUACCGAAAGCUUCCCCCAUUGUUUUACCGUUGAAACCAUCAUAGAUGGGAAGCCUCUACGCGGAAUAUUGUUUGCCAACAAGCCAAUCACCCCACAAAUGGCUAAUCAUAAUAAUAUUAGGAAAAGGACUGGUGGGCUAAUUGGCAGUGUUAUGUUGAAUGGCGAUCACAACAACAAAUCAAAAGCAUCUAGAACCCUCAAGCAGGAUGCUGAAGACCACAUGCGACCGG